AUGAUGUGGAGAGGAUCCAACUCAAGGAGGAGGAGGAAGAGGGGGGUGUUGGUCGGGACACAGAUAUUACGAAGACUCUGCAAAAAACACCUGUCUCCGGAUUACAUCUUGAAACUAAGGGCAACCAUGGCAACCGUGACAGAGAGGAUGAAGCGUUCAUCCACGUAUACUGGUAAGAGAGUCCAGGUAGCUACAUUUUCAGAUAUUAUACGUUUCUAGUUUUGUCAGAAAGUCAUUUUCAUUGCAAGUUAAAGCGUAUUGUCAGCUAGCUAAUGUUAUGUGUAUGAUCUGUGUAGUAAUAUUAUUCGUAUCUCAGAACCACAUGCAUUGCUAGUUUUAGCCUAAUGUUAGCUAGCUAGCUAGCUAACAUUGAACCUAGUUGGUUAGCUUUAGCUAACUGUAGAUUCAUGCAGGACAAUAACGUUAUGAGUUGGGAUUAUGGUUAAUUGUUUAGCCAGCUAGCUUCAUGUCUAAACAAAAUAAUCCACUAUGUGUAACAAGUGCGCUGAGAGUUGGCAAGCAAGUACAGGGAGUGAGUGUUUUAAUAAAUAAACACGAAACACAAAAAUCGCACUGACAUGAAACAGAGUCCAUAACACCUGAGGAAAGAACCAAGGGGAGUGACAGAUGUAGUGAAGAUAAUCAAGGAGGUGAUGGAGUCCAGGUGAGUGUCAUGAGGCGCUGGUGCACUUGACGAGGGUGACAGGUGUGAAGGAUAAUCAGCAGCCUGAUGACCUAGAGGCCAGAGAGGGAGUAUACGUUACACUAUGCAAGUAACAAUUUUACUGUACCAUUUACACCUUCUGUAUCCUGUGCAUGUGACAAAUACACUUGUGAAGAACAACUUGUAUUUUUCUUCUUCUAGGGGGUAGAUCAGCUUUAAUACUGCUGAUAGAUUGUAGCUUCCAUCAACGUAGUUGUCUGCAUCACUUCCAAUCCCCCAUGUAUUGGUUUGAAAAUAUAUACAUAUAAUAUAAAUAUAUAUAUACAAAUAUACAUACAUACAUACAUGUCUUGCACCAAAGUCAAAUUAGGAUAUAACGUAGACCAAGACACAGUUUCCAAGUAAAAAAAUUAUCCAGUAGAAUGCCCUGCUUUUAUUCGUCACACUCACAACCGUAAGCUCAUUUCUGUAAAUAAUGAUCUUGUUGUGAGUUUAUUUUCCUGUAAUAAUGAAUACAAAUGAGCUAAAGUUAAGAUGUUGUCAACUAUAUGAUAGUUGGUUGGC
rnacentral:lncRNA from 13 species